rnacentral:rRNA from 1 species
AGCAGCCGCGGUAAUUCCAGCUCCAAUAGCGUAUAUUAAAGUUGCUGCAGUUAAAAAGCUCGUAGUUGAAUUUCGGGACCAUCAUGUCGGUCGUGCCUCGGUACGUACUGGCAUUGUUGGUUUCUACCUUCUGACGAACCAUGAUGUCAUUAAUUUGGUGUCUUGGGGAAUCAGGACUGUUACUUUGAAAAAAUUAGAGUGUUUAAAGCAGGCUCGCGCUUGAAUACAUUAGCAUGGAAUAAUGAAAUAGGACGUUUGAUUCUAUUUUGUUGGUUUCUAGGAUCGACGUAAUGAUUAAUAGGGAUAGUUGGGGGCAUUAGUAUUCAAUUGUCAGAGGUGAAAUUCUUGGAUUUAUUGAAGACUAACUACUGCGAAAGCAUUUGCCAAGGAUGUUUUCAUUAAUCAAGAACGAAAGUUAGGGGAUCGAAGACGAUCAGAUACCGUCGUAGUCUUAACCAUAAACUAUGCCGACUAGGGAUCGGAUGAUGUUAAUUUUUAAUGA